AGAGUUGAUCAUGGCUACAGGACGAACGGCUGGCGGCGUGCCUAAUACAUGCAAGUCGAACGGCUUUCUAUGGAAGCUUGCUUCCACUGAGAAGAUAGUGGCGGACGGGUGAGUAACGCGUGGGCAACCUGCCCUGUACCGGGGGAUAACACUUAGAAAUAGGUGCUAAUACCGCAUAAGCGCACAGCUUCGCAUGAAGCAGUGUGAAAAACUCCGGUGGUACAGGAUGGACCCGCGUCUGAUUAGCUAGUUGGUGGGGUAGAGGCCCACCAAGGCGACGAUCAGUAGCCGGCCUGAGAGGGUGACCGGCCACAUUGGGACUGAGACACGGCCCAAACUCCUACGGGAGGCAGCAGUGGGGAAUAUUGCACAAUGGGGGAAACCCUGAUGCAGCGACGCCGCGUGAGUGAAGAAGUAUUUCGGUACGUAAAGCUCUAUCAGCAGGGAAGAAAAUGACGGUACCUGACUAAGAAGCCCCGGCUAACUACGUGCCAGCCGCCGC
rnacentral:rRNA from 1 species